GUCAAAUCAUCAUGCCCCUUAUGACCUGGGCUACACACGUGCUACAAUGGGGCGUACAGAGCGACGCGAGACCGUAAGGUGGAGCAAAUCGCAGAAAGCGUCCCUCAGUUCGGAUUGAGGUCUGCAACUCGACCUCAUGAAGCUGGAAUCGCUAGUAAUCGCGUAUCAGCCAUGACGCGGUGAAUAUGUUCCUGAGCCUU
rnacentral:rRNA from 1 species